AUGAUUAAUUUAAGGGAUGAUUGUAACCUUAAAAACAGGGCCAUAACCCCCUUCACCAAGCUUAUUAUCUGGAUGAAAAUUCUUAGUUGCAGAAAUUAGUGUUUGAAAUUUAAAAAUCUUCUGUUCUUGAGCAGCAAGCUGUUCCAAUUCUUCAUCUUGAGUUUCUGCUUCACAAUUCAAAAUUCAAAAAAAGACAAACACAUAAAAACCAAGAAUCAAGAUUCUUGAACAACAUAGCAUCCAAGACAAAACCAACCUUAAAAAACAUAAAAAGAUACCAUUUUUGAUAAAUUCUUGAAAAGGGUACCACAUAAAAACCAAGAUUCUUGAACAACAUACCAUCUAACACAAAACCAGCCUUAAAAAAACAUAAAAAAUAUUCCAUCUUUGAUGAAUUUUUUAAAAGGGUACCACAUAAAAACCAAGAUUUUUGAACAACAUAGCAUAAAAGAUACCAUCUUUGAUGAAAUCUUGAAAAGGGUAGCACAUAAAAACCAAGAUUCUUGUACAACAUAGCAUAAAAAACAAAACCAACCUCAAAAAACAUAAAAAGAUACCAUCUUUGAUGAAAUCUUGAAAAGGGUAUCACAUAAAAACCAAGAUUCUUGAACAACAUAGGAUAAAAAACAAAACCAACCUCAAAAAACAUAAAAAGUUACCAUCUUUGAUGAAAUCUUGAAAAGGGUAUCACAUAAAAACCAAGAUUCUUGAACAACAUAGCAUAUGAAAACAAAACCAGCCUCAAAAAACAUUAAAAAAAAACACAAUCUUUGAUGAAAUCUUGAAAAGGGUACCUUUAGUUGACUUGAGCUUGAAGGGUUUGAAAAGCGGUACCUUUAGUUGACUUGAGCUUGAAGGGUUUGACCAAAUUGUAAAAGAAGCUUUUGGAUUUGGUCAUCCUGCUUGCUAACCAGACCAAACAUUGGAUUAAGAAAUAGUAUUUACAAACAUACAAAAAGUAACUUGUGGAUCGUAAGAGUUUUAGGGUUUUAUAGAGGUUGAAGAAAGUGG
rnacentral:lncRNA from 1 species